rnacentral:rRNA from 1 species
AAUCCAGACUCCUACGGGAGGCAGCAGUGGGGAAUAUUGCACAAUGGGGGAAACCCUGAUGCAGCGACGCCGCGUGAGCGAUGAAGUAUUUCGGUAUGUAAAGCUCUAUCAGCAGGGAAGAAGAUGACGGUACCUGACUAAGAAGCCCCGGCUAACUACGUGCCAGCAGCCGCGGUAAUACGUAGGGGGCAAGCGUUAUCCGGAUUUACUGGGUGUAAAGGGAGCGUAGACGGCAGUGCAAGUCUGGAGUGAAAGGCGGGGGCUCAACCCCCGGACUGCUCUGGAAACUGUACGGCUGGAGUGCAGGAGAGGUAAGUGGAAUUCCUAGUGUAGCGGUGAAAUGCGUAGAUAUUAGGAGGAGCACCAGUGGCGAAGGCGGCUUACUGGACUGUAACUGACGUUGAGGCUCGAAAGCGUGGGGAGCAAACAGGAUUAGAUACCCGGGUAG